rnacentral:rRNA from 1 species
UGGGGAAUAUUGGACAAUGGGGGCAACCUGAUCCAGCCAUGCCGCGUGAGUGAUGAAGGCCUAGGGUUGUAAAGCUCUUUGUGCGGGAAGAUAAUGACGGUACCGCAAGAAUAAGCCCCGGCUAACUUCGUGCCAGCAGCCGCGGUAAUACGAAGGGGGCUAGCGUUGCUCGGAAUCACUGGGCGUAAAGGGUGCGUAGGCGGGUUUCUAAGUCAGAGGUGAAAGCCUGGGAGCUCAACUCCAGGAGCUGCCUUUGAUACUGGAAGUCUUGAGUAUGGCAGAGGUGAGUGGAACUGCGAGUGUAGAGGUGAAAUUCGUAGAUAUUCGCAAGAACACCAGUGGCGAAGGCGGCCAACUGGCUCGAUACUG